UGGCGGAAUGCUUUACACAUGCAAGUCGAACGGCAGCACGGACUUCGGUCUGGUGGCGAGUGGCGAACGGGUGAGUAACAUAUCGGAACGUAUCCAAUAAUGGGGGAUAACUAAUCGAAAGGUUGGCUAAUACCGCAUACGCCCUACGGGGGAAAGCUAGGGACCUUCGGGCCUGGCGUUAAUGGAGCGGCCGAUAUCUGAUUAGCUAGUUGGUGGGGUAAAGGCCCACCAAGGCGACGAUCAGUAGCUGGUCUGAGAGGACGACCAGCCACACUGGAACUGAGACACGGUCCAGACUCCUACGGGAGGCAGCAGUGGGGAAUUUUGGACAAUGGGCGCAAGCCUGAUCCAGCCAUUCCGCGUGAGUGAAGAAGGCCUUCGGGUUGUAAAGCUCUUUCGCAAGGGAAGAAAACUUAGCCACUAACAUUGGCUGAGGUUGACGGUACCUUGAUAAGAAGCACCGGCUAACUACGUGCCAGCAGCCGCGGUAAUAAU
rnacentral:rRNA from 1 species